rnacentral:lncRNA from 1 species
AUAGGUUCACAGGAAGUUGCAAAGGUGGCACUGAGAGGUCCCGUGUGCUCUUCACCCAGUUUCCUCCUGUGGUUGCGUCUUAGUGUACGGAACUUCAUUGUGUGAACGUGCCAUAGUUUACACAGCUGUGCUCUCAGAUAUGAACACGCAGGGAGCAUCCAAACAUUUGAAAUGACAAACAACGGUGCAGGGCCUAACCUUGUACAAGCCUGUGUAUUUUGGUAUUGCUGAAGCUGUAAUUUCAGGGUAGAUACCUAGAAGAGUGACUGUAGGUUAGAAAGGUAAGUGCAUAUGCAGUUUUGUUAGGUAUUGCCAAAUUUCCCUUUAAAAGGAUUGUGCCAAUUUGUAUUCUCACAAGAGAUGCUAGUACAAGUGUUGAGACUGAUGUGUGGCUAGAUGGCUGGAGAGCUGGCUGACAUCUCACCCCGCAGCAUCAAUGUUAGAACCGGUGCUUACGUGGCUUGCAGUUACUAGAGAGAGCCACUAGAUGGCAGAUACAGCCCAUCACAGACAACACACUGGGAUGAAGAGAUUUAAAAACAAACACAACCAUCAGCCUGCAUAGAACUUUUGUUCUCCUGGGGGAGAGAGACAGUAAGGAAAUACAAAAGCCAAAUACAUAGUCUAUUGGGGAGCGUAGGUGCUAUGGAGAAAGCACAGAAGGGGAAUAGGGUGUGUGUGCGUGCCUGUGUGCACAUAUAUGUGCAUGCGUGCAUGUGUGUGUGUGUGUGUG